rnacentral:rRNA from 1 species
CGAACGGGUGAGGAACGCGUGGACAACCUACCCCGGCGUGGGGGAUACCCGCCAGAAAUGGUGGCUAAUACCGCGUACGGUUGCCGGACGGAGGGUUCGGCAAAGAAAGCAGUGAUGCGCGCUGGGAGGGGUCUGCGGCCGAUUAGCUAGUUGGCGGGGUAGUGGCCCACCAAGGCGAUGAUCGGUAGCUGGUCUGAGAGGAUGGUCAGCCACACGGGGACUGAGACACGGCCCCG